rnacentral:rRNA from 1 species
AGUGAACGCUGGCGGCGUGCCUAAUACAUGCAAGUCGAACGAAGUGGCGCACGGGUGAGUAAUAUAUAGUUACUCUGCCCUACACAGAGGAACAACAGUUGGCAACGACUGCUAAUACCUCAUAGUUUAGGAUGAUACUAUGUCGUAUAAGCUAGUUGGUAAGGUAAUGGAUUACCAAGGCUAUGACGCGUAACUGGUCUGAGAGGAUGAGCAGUCACAGUGGAACUGAGACACGGUCCAAACUCCGACGGGAGGCAGCAGUAAGGAAUAUUGCGCAAUGGGGGAAACCCUGACGCAGCAACGCCGCGUGGAGGAUGACACUUGUCGGAUCGUAAACUCCUUUUAUCAGGAAAGCGGUACCUGAUGAAUAAGCACCGGCUAACUCCGUGCCAGCCGCGGCGGUAAUUC